UACGUAGGCAGCAAGCGUUGUUCGGAAUUACUGGGCGUAAAGAGUGUGUAGGCGGUGUUUCUAAGUCUGUUUGUGAAAAUCUCCCGGCUUAACUGGGAGGGUGCGGCGGAAACUGGAAUGCUAGAGGAUGGGAGAGGUAAGCGGAAUUCCUGGUGUAGCGGUGAAAUGCGUAGAUAUCAGGAGGAACACCGGUGGUGUAGACGGCUCACUGGACCUAACUAGACUGAGACACGAAAGCGUGGGUAGCAAACAGG
rnacentral:rRNA from 1 species